CAUCUUCAUCCCUUCUCAUUGUUGCCCAUCUUCAUCCCUUCUCAUUGUUGCCGGAGGAUCGAGGUUUUUUUCCUCGCGGAUGCUCUUUGAACCCUAAACCUUCUUGCAGACCUUGGUGGGGGAGAAGAGCACUCGAAUUGGAUGGCAGGAUCUCCAUGAAACCUGUCAAUUAAUCCUUGAUUCCUACUCGGAGGCCGGCAAUCUGAAACUCCUAGUGUGGACGUGGGCACCAGCGAGGCAUCACAGCAGCCUUUUCAAGCUCCAACUACUAGACAGGAGAGGGAACUGCAGACCCUUCUUUGCCAACUACAACAGAGUGUGGGCUCCCUUGCAGAGGACGUUCAGAAGUUGAAAGUGAAGAACUCUCAUGUAUAUAUAAGCUACAAAAUAUGCACACACUCAAAUUAGCACACAUUACUUCAUGGUGUUGGAAGUUUAUGUUGAUAUAAAUAUUUUGUUGAUAAUAAGGGUGUUAAGCAAUUAAAGGGAGAGACAUAGACAAGGCGAGAGAAUAAAUAUCAAAUAUAUAUAUUUGAAGUGUAGUAGUAUAGUUGUUAUUAUCGGUAGUUAUUGGCACUGGUUUUUAAUGGUGUCUAGUAUGAUGUAAUGGGUUUUGGUAGUAGUGAAAGCAAGGAGUGUGUGUGCCUUUUUUACUGUGUUUUUUUGGCGUAUGUGUUUGGGGAGUUGUGAUCGAAUGGCUGAUUCAGCAAAUCUACCUCUGUGCGGUAUUAUCCCUCAGGGAUCUAGUAUUGUGAAGCAAGAAGGCAUGUUUGGUGGGUCAAGCACUUGAAAUCAACUAUUUCCAAGUCAGAAACUAUUUGGAGUGUUAAUUCUUCAACCUAUGGAUAAAACAUGGAUAAACCUUACAUCAAGAGCAAGUGAAGAGUAUAUAAAUGGGGCCACCAAUUUCUUAGAUUUUUCCUUUGCCAAAUUAUCCGAAGAUGGUAAAAUUUGGUGUCCUUGUGUUAAAUGAGUGAACACAUAUAUGGUGUCCAGACAAGAAGCAUUUGAUCACAUUAUUUGUGAUGGCUUUCUUAAAGGAUAUGUUCGAUGGAUUUUUCAUGGGGAAACCACGGAAGUAGCUACUUCUACUGUUAUAAGUAAUGAAGAAGAAAUAGUGUUUGACAAUGAUAUUCAUGAGUUAUUGCAUGAUAUGAUGGCUGAAGAAGAUAUGAAUGCUGAUGUCCAUAAUAUGCAAUCAGAAGAAAGUCACUGGGGUCAACAUUAUGCUCACAAAAUUCAUAGUGACAAUUUUUAUAGCUUGCUUAAAGAUGCUGAGGUGGAAUUAUAUCCGGGUUGCAAGAAUUUUACAAAAUUCUCUUUUGCUAUCUAUUUGUUCCACAUUAAAUGUUUUAAUGGGUGGACCAACAAAUCCUUCAAUGCAUUACUAGAGCUACUGAAACUUGUUCUACCAGAAGGUAAUACAUUGCCAAGGUCAUAUCAAGAAAUGAAAAAGAUGAUUUCGUCAUUAAGUUUGGGUUAUGAAAAAAUUCAUGCUUGUCCCAAUGAUUGCAUACUAUUUUGGAAGGAGAAUGCAAAUGAAGAUAAAUGCACAAAAUGUGGAGCUUCAAGAUGGAAAGAGAGCUUGAAUGAUGGAAAAAGUGAUUUCCAAGAUGCUUUUACAAAAAAAGAAAAAGAAAGCUGCCAAAAUAUUACGAUGGUUUCCUCUUAUUCCAAGAUUGCAAAAGUUAUUUAUGUCUUCAAAAACUGCUUCUCUAAUGACUUGGCCAUAUAUAUGUUGGAGUUGGUGGAAGUGAAAGAACUGCUUUGUAUUGGGCUUCACAGUGAGUGAAAAACUAUUAUGGAUAGCUUUCUGUUACACUCUUUUGUUUGCCGCUAUUGUUGACUUAGA